rnacentral:rRNA from 1 species
CAGCAGCCGCGGUAAUACGAAGGGGGCUAGCGUUGUUCGGAUUUACUGGGCGUAAAGCGCACGUAGGCGGAUCGAUCAGUCAGGGGUGAAAUCCUGGAGCUCAACUCCAGAACUGCCUUUGGUACUGUCGAUCUCGAGUCCGGAAGAGGUGAGUGGAGCUCCGAGUGUAGAGGUGGAAUUCGUAGAUAUUAGGAAGAACACCAGUGGCGAAGGCGGCUCACUGGUCCGGUACUGACGCUGAGGUGCGAAAGCGUGGGGAGCAAACAGGAUUAGAGACCCCAGUAGUCCCUGUCUCUUAUAC